ensembl:lncRNA
GUAUCUUUUGUGGAUAUUUAACCCAAACUAACUUUGCAGCUCGGAAGAGACUCUUGGUAGACAUUUCACAGUACAUUCACAGCAUUCUGCAGCAUUCAGUGUUUUAUAAUGGCACUGUUUCGCAGUCUGUUUGAGUGGGUUCAAUGUUGUGUUCACCGCAUACCCAAAAGGAGAAAAAAACAGGGGGUGCAGAAGUGCACAGAAGCAGAAAGUACCCCAAUGGAAGGGAUGAGGAGGCCCCUUGAUGUUGGCGAUACUGACCAGAAGUACCUAAAUGAUGAGGAAAAAAGAGAGGUGGGGAGGAAAAGAAAGUUAAAGAAGGAAAGAAAGAUGGUGGACGAGAGAGAAUCAGGCAGAAUGGAAGAGGAGACCAAAGACCCAACUCCACUGCUAAUCGAGGUCAAACCACAACCAACUCCACCAGCCGAUGAGGCCAAAACCCCGGCUAGUUCUUCCUUCAUAAAGUCAUCAGUGAAAGAGCCACUGGUGGCUAAAAGCGCCUGUCGAAACCUGCCUCCACUGGCCACCAAGACCAGACCUCCUUCAUCAGGGGAAGAACCAAUGCUGGUUCAAAAGGUAUCCCAACAACACCCUGAUUUAUCAGCCACUGAGGUUCAACCCCUUCCUGGUUCUUCCUUCAUAAAACCUCCUUUAUCAGUGGCAAAUUUUGCUCCUAAAGCUACUGAGACCAAACCUCUGCGUGGUUCUUUUGUGGUGGACCCUGAGGUGGUUCAAAAGGUAUCCCAACAACACCCUGAUUUAUCAGCCACUGAGGUUCAACCCCUUCCUGGUUCUUCCUUCAUAAAACCUCCUUUAUCAGUGGCAAAUUUUGCUCCUAAAGCUACUGAGACCAAACCUCUGCGUGGUUCUUUUGUGGUGGACCCUGAGGUGGUUCAAAAGGCAUCUCGAC